AGAGUUUGAUCAUGGCUCAGAUUGAACGCUGGCGGCAGGCUUAACACAUGCAAGUCGAGCGGGGGAGAUUGCUUCGGUAAUUGACCUAGCGGCGGACGGGUGAGUAAUACUUAGGAAUCUGCCUAUUAAUGGGGGACAACAUCUCGAAAGGGAUGCUAAUACCGCAUACGCCCUACGGGGGAAAGCAGGGGAUCACUUGUGACCUUGCGUUAAUAGAUGAGCCUAAGUCGGAUUAGCUAGUUGGUGGGGUAAAGGCCUACCAAGGCGACGAUCUGUAGCGGGUCUGAGAGGAUGAUCCGCCACACUGGGACUGAGACACGGCCCAGACUCCUACGGGAGGCAGCAGUGGGGAAUAUUGGACAAUGGGGGGAACCCUGAUCCAGCCAUGCCGCGUGUGUGAAGAAGGCCUUAUGGUUGUAAAGCACUUUAAGCGAGGAGGAGGCUCUCUUGGUUAAUACCCAAGAUGAGUGGACGUUACUCGCAGAAUAAGCACCGGCUAACUCUGUGCCAGCAGCCGCGGUAAUACAGAGGGUGCGAGCGUUAAUCGGAUUUACUGGGCGUAAAGCGUGCGUAGGCGGCUUUUUAAGUCGGAUGUGAAAUCCCCGAGCUUAACUUGGGAAUUGCAUUCGAUACUGGGAAGCUAGAGUAUGGGAGAGGAUGGUAGAAUUCCAGGUGUAGCGGUGAAAUGCGUAGAGAUCUGGAGGAAUACCGAUGGCGAAGGCAGCCAUCUGGCCUAAUACUGACGCUGAGGUACGAAAGCAUGGGGAGCAAACAGGAUUAGAUACCCUGGUAGUCCAUGCCGUAAACGAUGUCUACUAGCCGUUGGGGCCUUUGAGGCUUUAGUGGCGCAGCUAACGCGAUAAGUAGACCGCCUGGGGAGUACGGUCGCAAGAUUAAAACUCAAAGGAAUUGACGGGGGCCUGCACAAGCGGUGGAGCAUGUGGUUUAAUUCGAUGCAACGCGAAGAACCUUACCUGGUCUUGACAUAGUAAGAACUUUCCAGAGAUGGAUUGGUGCCUUCGGGAACUUACAUACAGGUGCUGCAUGGCUGUCGUCAGCUCGUGUCGUGAGAUGUUGGGUUAAGUCCCGCAACGAGCGCAACCC
rnacentral:rRNA from 1 species